rnacentral:lncRNA from 1 species
AGAAACCUCGAGGACAGCAAUCACCAAAAGAAUUAACUUAUAUUCUAGUGUGCAUCCCAUGGAUGUCUACAGAAAAGAAAACAUGGUGACUAACAGCAACAUUGAAGAAUGAGCCAUGCUCAGUUCAACUAAGAAAAUGAUCAAAUGGGGACAGUUGCUAAAAAAAAUAAAAAUAAAAAUGGAGGCACAAAUUAGAUACAUCCCAAAUCCAACCACACUCAACUGUAUAGCCAGAGCAAGUCAUCCUGAUUUCCCCCCAGUGCUAACCUUAAUCAGACAAGAAAUGCAAAACAUAAGCUUAAUGUCUUUAUCAGCAUGAUUCAGUGAAAUUAAACCAAUCAGUUAUCAACAAAUCAGAGAAACAACUCUGCUUGCCCUAAAAGAACGUGAAUGCAUGACAUCCCAUCGUAAAGAAGGUCCAAAGUCUUCCUUCAUUAUGCUUUAUAAACCUUGUUCUACUGCCAUAAGUAGUGCUUCUUUCCACUUUUGGUUUGAAGUCUCCAAACUCCCCAACUGUUCUUUUGCAUGCACAAAAACUUCUAUAAUUUUAAAAUCUGAUCAGAUUUUAUUUUCAACAAAAUUCACAUUUAUAUUUCUUUGAGGAAUCACACUGAAAACACUCACCAUUCUCUCUUCUUGAAAGCUAAUCUUUGUGGUAUUGUAUUUCCAUGGUCCAUUUCUGAAAGAGCUGAGAGCAGGGAUAAGUAGUUUAGGCCACUUAUGCUGGGCUGGACAGCUGCUAAGAAAACAUACACUGGUGUUUAUUCCCAGAAGUUACAUGGCAUCGGUCACAGAUAUGAGUCAACCAGGAAUCAUCCCCACAUUUGUCAUUCUGGUAAUAAGGAUUAGAGGAUAAAAGUAUAAAAAUCAUCUGGGGGCAUUGCUGACCUCCUGGAAACAAAGGGUUCUCAUUUACCAUAGUCACAUCAGUAGCCAUAUCUAGAUGUCCUCAAAUAACUCUCCCUGUGUCUUCUACUUUUAUUUAUUCAUGUAUUUAUUUAUUAAAAUGAAGACCCCAGGCCUUGUGAACUAGCCCUACCUGCAUUGCAGAAUCGUAUCUUUCUCUGGGAGUUGUGUAAGAGCUGCAGCAAAAUCAUAUGUGAGCCUCCUUGUGUUAUAGUUCACAUGAUGCUGAUUAUAAGGAGCCACUUGAGUAUGAAGGAUGGAUUUUUAUUUCCCAUGUGCCCUCCUUUUUCAUUAUGACCCUCAUGUCAUCUCCAUCAAUCUAUCAGCAACAAACGUUGCCAUACUCUGCAACAAGGAAUUCUACAGCCUUUCUGGAUUUCAUGAAGACAGUAGUUUGUUAAUGUGGACAAUGUGUUCUCCUGAUAAUCGGAGCUGGAUAGAAACCUCUGGGCCUUGAUCUGUUUUUAAGCCUCUACAAACUUCUAGUGACUGUCCCCA